rnacentral:rRNA from 1 species
GAUGAACGCUGGCGGCGUGCCUAAUACAUGCAAGUCGAGCGAACGGACGAGAAGCUUGCUUCUCUGAUGUUAGCGGCGGACGGGUGAGUAACACGUGGAUACCCUACCUAUAAGACUGGGAUAACUUCGGGACACCGUAGCUAAUCCCGGAUAAUCUUCUGAACCGCAUGGUUGAAAAGUGAAAGACGGUCUUGCUGUAACUUAUAGAUGGAUACGCGCUGCAUUAGCUAGUUGGUACGGUAAAGGCUUACCAAGGCAACGAGGCAUAGCCGACCUGUUAGGAGGAUAGCCGACACUGGAACGUAGACAGGGUCAUGACUCCUACGGGAGGCAGCAGUAGGGAAUCGGACGCAAUGGUCGAAAGUCUUACGCAGCAACGGCGAGCGAGUUAUGAAGGUCUUGGGAUCGUAAAACUCGGUUAUGAGUUAAGAACAUAUUUGUAAGGAGCUGAGCACAUCUUGACGGUACUUAAUCAGAAAGCCACGGCUAACUACGUG